AGCGAACGCUGGCGGCAGGCUUAACACAUGCCAGUCGAGCGGGCACUUUCGGGUUCCAGCGGCGGACGGGUGAGUAACGCGUGGGAACGUGCCCUCUGGUUCGGAAUAACUCAGGGAAACUUGAGCUAAUACCGGAUACGCCCGUUUGGGUAAAGGCUUGCUGCCGGAGGAUCGGCCCGCGUCUGAUUAGCUAGUUGGUGAUGUAACGGCUCACCAAGGCGACGAUCAGUAGCUGGUCUGAGAGGAUGAUCAGCCACACUGGGAGUGAGACACGGCCCAGACUCCUACGGGAGGCAGCAGUGGGGAAUAUUGGGAAAUGGGCGCAAGCCUGAUCCAGCCAUGCCGCGUGAGUGAUGAAGGCCUUAGGGUUGUAAAGCUCUUUUAUCCGGGACGAUAAUGACGGUACCGGAGGAAUAAGCCCCGGCUAACUUCGUG
rnacentral:rRNA from 1 species